ACUGAACGCUGGCGGCAUGCCUUACACAUGCAAGUCGAACGGCAGCACGGGGCAACCUGGUGGCGAGUGGCGGACGGGUGAGUAAUGCAUCGGAACGUACCUUUCAGUGGGGGAUAACGUAGCGAAAGUUACGCUAAUACCGCAUAUUCUGUGAGCAGGAAAGCAGGGGAUCGCAAGACCUUGCGCUGAUUGAGCGGCCGAUGUCAGAUUAGCUAGUUGGUGAGGUAAAGGCUCACCAAGGCGACGGUCUGUAGCGGGUCUGAGAGGAUGAUCCGCCGCACUGGAACUGAGACGCGGUCCAGACUCCUACGGGAGGCAGCAGUGGGGAAUUUUGGACAAUGGGGGCAACCCUGAUCCAGCCAUGCCGCGUGAGUGAAGAAGGCCUUCGGGUUGUAAAGCUCUUUCGGCCGGGAAGAAAUCGCACGGGCUAAUACCCUGUGUGGAUGACGGUACCGGAAUAAGAAGCACCGGCUAACUACGUGCCAGCCGCCGCCGUAA
rnacentral:rRNA from 1 species